rnacentral:tRNA from 1 species
GAAACGUUAGCUCAAUGGAAGAGCUUUGACUUAUCUGAACAGAGGCUGCGGGUUCGAAUCCCGCACGUUUCUCCU